rnacentral:rRNA from 1 species
ACGGAGGAUGCGAGCGUUAUCCGGAUUUAUUGGGUUUAAAGGAUGCGUAGGCGGAAAAAUAAGUCAGUGGUGAAAACAUUCAGCUUAACUGGAGACUUGCCAUUGAUACUGUUAUUCUUGAGUAUAGUUAAGGUAGGCGGAAUGUGUAAUGUAGCGGUGAAAUGCGUAGAUAUUACACAGAACACCAAAUGCGGAGGCAGCUUAAUGAGCUAUAACUGACGCUGAUGCACGUAAGCGUGGGGAGCGUACAG